rnacentral:rRNA from 1 species
UCGCCAGACUCCUACGGGAGGCAGCAGUGGGGAAUAUUGCACAAUGGGGGAAACCCUGAUGCAGCAACGCCGCGUGAGUGAAGAAGUAUUUCGGUAUGUAAAGCUCUAUCAGCAGGGAAGAGAAUGACGGUACCUGACUAAGAAGCCCCGGCUAACUACGUGCCAGCAGCCGCGGUAAUACGUAGGGGGCAAGCGUUAUCCGGAUUUACUGGGUGUAAAGGGAGCGUAGACGGCAGUGCAAGUCCGGAGUGAAAGCCCGGGGCUCAACCCUGGGACUGCUCUGGAAACUGUAAAGCUGGAGUGCGGGAGGGGCAGGCGGAAUUCCUGGUGUAGCGGUGAAAUGCGUAGAUAUCAGGAGGAACACCGGCGGCGAAGGCGGCCUGCUGGACCGUAACUGACGUUGAGGCUCGAAAGCGUGGGUAGCAAACAGGAUUAGAUACCCCAGUA